GUGGUGGGUUCUAAUCAGUUUUACCACCAUUUCGCAUCGCGCACGUGCUUUGCGCACGAUCGCUACUCGCAUGUGUGCCGAACUUGCACUUUGCGCAAGCGCAUUAAGUAAAAACACAGCUGAGGCAGGCAAUACACUCUGCCAUGCCUUACAGCUGACCAAAAAACAAAAGAAAUAAAGGAAACCAAGAAGGAGGUAGGACAAACUCACCUGGCCUGAGAAUCCAACACCUCAGCAAAGUAUGCACCUCAUGAGCAAGCAGAGAGAUGCUGCUUCUGUAAGCAUCUGCCUUCCAUUGCGGAAAUAAAAUUUAGCAUCUGG